UACGAAGGGGGCUAGCGUUGCUCGGAAUUACUGGGCGUAAAGCGCACGUAGGCGGAUUUUUAAGUCAGAGGUGAAAUCCCGGAGCUCAACUCCGGAACUGCCUUUGAUACUGGAAAUCUUGAGUUCGGGAGAGGUGAGUGGAACUGCGAGUGUAGAGGUGAAAUUCGUAGAUAUUCGCAAGAACACCAGUGGCGAAGGCGGCUCACUGGCCCGAUACUGACGCUGAGGUGCGAAAGCGUGGGGAGCAAACAGG
rnacentral:rRNA from 1 species